rnacentral:lncRNA from 1 species
AAAAAAAAACCCCACCACUCACUCACUUACCUCACACACGCCAAACGCCUCACCACUCCCUCACCACACGCCUCACCACGGCCAUCAACGGCGACGGCUGAAGGAGUUCCUAGGCAACGAUCAACGGCGGCACAAGGACGGGCUGAUCACCACCGUCGGCAACGAUCAACGAAGGCAGAAGGACGGGCUGAUCUUCUUCGUUGACAAUGAUCAACGGCGGCACAAGCACAGCGCCCUCAGCCCCUUCAG